rnacentral:misc_RNA from 1 species
UCAAACUUGGUCAUUUAGAGGAAGUAAAAGUCGUAACAAGGUUUCCGUAGGUGAACCUGCGGAAGGAUCAUUAACGAGUUUGAAAGGAGCUGUUCUGGUCUUUCGGGGCAAGUGAACGCUUCGCUCAAUCCAUCUUACACCUGUGCACUUUUCGGGGUUGACUUUGUGGAUCUAAGUUGGAAAACGACGGUGAUCCUAUUGUCUCCUCUUUUAUACCAAACUACAGUCUUAGAAAGUCUACUUUUUGCUUGAUGCAAAAACAAAUAAUACAACUUUCAGCAACGGAUCUCUUGGCUCUCGCAUCGAUGAAGAACGCAGC